rnacentral:lncRNA from 1 species
UGGAGGCAGAGCUUUGAUGUGAAGUAGGUGCUGCUGCUGGGAAUUGCAAGAUAUAAAAGGGUGCUGGCGCCUAGAAGGCAGUGCUAUUAAAGCUCAAGCUGCUGCAGAGAUGGGAAGUUUGUACUCUCCUCUCAAAACUGCCUAGUGUCAUGACUCAUGAGCCUGUUGUGCUUACAAUACCAAAAAUCUUAAAUUCUAAACAUAUCAAAAUGACAUACAGUAUAUCAUGAAAAGAAAAAAAAAAAAAAAAAAAAAGAAUGAUUGCUUUAAUGACAAAAUCUAUUUUAGCCUUUCAAGUUGUGAUCAAUGCUUGGUCGACUUGAUAGAUAUAUGUCCAAAAAAGCCAAAAUUGAGCACAACUAUAAUUUUAUUCAAAAGGCUAAAACCGCUUACAAUGUUCAUGAAGUCUAUACAGCAUACCAAACUAUAUAACUUCCCUUCUAGACAUAAAGGUAUCAAAUCUAAUCCCUUUCAUUGAAGGUGAUACAAAAUCUGUUCCAGAAAACUGUCAGAAGCUGUAAAUUGUCAACUAAAGUGAAAAAGGAAAUCAUGUAUACUCAUCUUCUGUAAUAUAUGGUUUGGCCAGCAUACCAAACUAUUGUAGAAGAUAUAAAAUCAAGAGAAGAUAUUGGAAGGUGUACAGCACAAAAUCAAGAGAAGAUAUCACCAUGAUUCUCUCUACAUAAUAUCCUAGAAAGAUCUAUGUAUUGUACGACAGAUUGUAACUUCCUUAUAUACAGCCUUGAUUAUUGUAACCUCAUCUAUAUAUACAAGCAAUACAAUCACAUCUCUCAAUCAUCUAUAAGGUGAGAGAACUUCACUAGCACUUGUUCUUCUUUAACUAUAUAACACAGCAGUGCAGUAUUUCAACAAGUAGCUAUGCUGGAGCUUAAACAUUAACGUCUCUUAUCUUGAUACACUUGCCAGGAAGUAUGAAUAUAUAAAUGAAAAAAUAUAUUCGAUACCGCUUGUAACGAGUCUAUUUGCACUUUGCACUUGUACUCUCUCUAUGCCCAAUGACAUUGGCACUUUGCUACUUGCAGUCCCGUUAAGAUAGCUUAUUGUUCAAUGUAGCUUAUAGGUUCGCCUCUUGAUAUGAGAUGUGGAGACAAUGCAAAAAGAUUUAUAUGUUGUUUCUAUGAAGAAGAGUGUUAAAAAUUGACAAAUUAAGAAGAUUGGGAGUUAUUAUGCCGAAUAGGUGCAACUUGUGUGAAUUGGAUGAAGAAGGCUCCCCUGCAUCUUUUCUUAACAUGUCCUAUUACUGACAAGGUAUGGAAAUAAUUAAGCAGGGACGAUGUAAGUGAUAUAAGACAAUGCCUGCAGGGAUGGACGGAGAUACAUUCAAACCGAUUGGGGAAGUGGUCUGGCAACUAGUUUCAUAUGCUAUGUCAGGAGCCCAUAUGGAAGGCAAGGAAUUACAUCACCUGCAAGAUUUUCAACGGCAAAUUUUAGGCAAACGGCUUUUAGUUUCAUCGUAUGAAGACGGUCAGCCAAGGAAAACAUGAGAUCGAGCACCUAUAUUAGUAAGUGUAAUUGCGAGCAAUCUAUUGUUGAAACCACAACUCCAAUGGUACAAUUAAUUUCAAGUGUGUUCAAUCUAGAUUUGAAUAAAAACAAUACUUGUAUGUUCAAUAAACUAAUGACCAUACAAUGAUUGAAGUUGGGUGGGAGAUAAAACCUUCAAUUUUCAAUUUGGGGGCCUGUCAGUUACAAUGAAUCCAACUUUGUCAAAAUCAUUUAAGAUAAAAAUUUGAAAUUUAUUGAAUUAACCAAUUCUGGGAAUUGUUUCGUUUACAACUGAGUAAGCAAAAGACUAAAACUGAAGCCUCCUCUUUGGGUCUGUUAAUUACAAAGACUAACUUUACACAAUCAACAAUUGAUCGAAAAGAAAUACGAAGAAGUCAUGAAGACUUGAUCUUACCUUUUUGAAGAUGAACGAUUGAACACACACGAAGAAGUAGUAGAGUUGCAAAAACUUGACUACAGUGAAGAACUCUUUAAUGGUUUCUCAGUGAAUGAAAGAGAAAGAGAGAGAGAGAGAUUAGUUUUCAGUUUUGAUAUCGGGGAGAGAGAAAAGAGAUCGAGACGGAGAGAGGAGAAAAAGGAAAGUGGUUUCCUUAAAAUAAAAAAGGUGUCCAUUUUCCGAAAUUUUAAACUAGCUCAUAA